UACGAAGGGGGCUAGCGUUGCUCGGAAUCACUGGGCGUAAAGCGCACGUAGGCGGACUCUUAAGUCAGGGGUGAAAUCCUGGAGCUCAACUCCAGAACUGCCUUUGAUACUGGGGAUCUCGAGUCCGGAAGAGGUGAGUGGAACUCCGAGUGUAGAGGUGAAAUCGUAGAUAUUCGGAAGAACACCAGUGGCGAAGGCGGCUCACUGGUCCGGUACUGACGCUGAGGUGCGAAAGCG
rnacentral:rRNA from 1 species